rnacentral:lncRNA from 1 species
CGCAGCAAGGGCCAGACUCUGCGCUAGCAGGCGCUGCGCGCCAACCGGCCGGCACCUGUCGCAGAAGGUGCAACCGAUCGCACUGUCGCGCAGAAGCUCCUCAAUGGCCAGCGCCAGCUGCAGCCCCGGCCGCCCACUCGCCUCAUCUGAGCCUGGGCAAAUCUGGAUUGGGAAAGUUGACAUUAAUCAACUCAUUAUUCCUCACAGAUUUGUAUUCUCCAGAGUAUCCAGGUCCUUCUCAGAGAAUUAAAAAGCCUGUACAGGUCUAGAUAUUGGUAUUUUUAAUUGAUGAUAAGCUGGAAUAAUAUUAAUACACACAAAGCACGUGUUGUAACUUUCAUUAUGCUUCCUUAGAGCGCUGCUCUAAGCUGUUGAUGAAAAAUAUUGUUGGUGAGCUCUGCUUAGGUAAUAUAUAGGACAUGAGCAGAGAGGAGGCACGUGAACAGUUCUGGCCUGGAGUAGGCUUCAUUGAGGCUGUGAUGCUUUUAGCUGGAUUUGAAGAAGUGGUAGUGAUCAUCCCAGUGCACAGGAUAGGUGGACAGUCUAUGUAUUCUGAGCAGUAACUCAUAUAUCUCAUACUGCAAGACCCCAAAGGAGUAAUUUUGUGAACUCUGUUCACGGAAAGGGCCUGGGAGCUGCAACACCUCAACAGCAACAAGCACACCUGCUACCUAGAACUUGGUUUCUAAAAACCAUCCUCCUCUAAAAGGAAACAGAGCUCUUUGAAGAAACGAAGGUAAGCAUGAGCAAAUUACUUUUUAGAGGUAACUUUGCUGAACUUGUGAAGAAUGGUGUGCAAGGUCCAGAGCGACUGCAGGAGAGGGAAGGUGGGAUUCCCACAGAGCAGGAGCACAGAUAAGCCAAGCAAGGCCCUGCUUGGAAGGCAGCAAUCAACAGAGAUGCACAGACCUGUGAGGGUGCCGGGACAGCCAUGCAACAAUGCAGCCCUUUUGCUUCCUGAGCUCACCAGUUCCCUCGCUCCACCUCUGAGAGGUGGUUUGGAGAAACACAGCCCUUCUCAAGAGGGCUGCAAGCUACUUAAGUCCUGAAAAUUUCCACAAGGCUGAGUCAAAUCUGCGUUUCAUCAUCUAUAAGAAAGGUACCUAUCGAGAACACCCUGCUGGCCAGUGUGUAAAUAUCUAAAGGAGGACUCAGAAAACACCGGGGAAGUCCAGCCUGCACGUGGUGGCUGGGCUUCAGUGAAGCAUGCAGCACAACAGGAGUUAGCAGACCACAAAGAGCAUGUCUGGACCUAGAACCACAGCAUGUAACCUCGGAAGCAGUGAGACACCAGCCAGCAUGGACAAGCAGCAGGCACUUGCU